GUUCACACAAGAAUUAUAAUUCAUCACCCCAUAAUCAUAAUCUAACAAAACUUCAUUACAAUGAAGAACGUAGAGAACUCAAACCAUACAUAUAAUGAAUAAUAAUCACACGUGCCACAAUCAUGAAAAAUAGAAAUAAGAAUGCCAUACAAAAAAUUCUAUCUCUACCUCACUCUAUACGUAAAUAAUAUUAACAACAACCAUGAUCGAACACCUUUCAUCAAAAACUAAUUAAAAGAUCAAUGUGAAAACAAAUGCCGAUAGAGCUGUGACCGCGGUAGGGACGAAGAGGGUGGUUGCAGCUGACAUAGGAGCCGGAGUAGGAGGAUCCGCGGCAGAGUGAUAUGUACCAAUCAAGACGGAUGAAACGGCCACCAUCAUGACCACGGUUAUGGCGAAAAGCUUCAUCGUCAUCUUCAUUGACUCCAUGAUUAAUGGUUUGGGAUUGCUUUGAGUUUGAAGAUGGUGGAGUGAAGUAGUGUUUAG
rnacentral:lncRNA from 1 species